AAAGUUACAUGAAACAAAAUUGAAUAAAAGCUAGCAGAAAGCAGAAGGGGCUAGACUGAAGAAAUCACUGUCUUAAAAAUCUGUACAACUUCAAAUUCUUCAUCUGGGUUUUAAAAAAGGUUCUCUUUAAAAUGCUAACCACAGAAUAGGAAUACAAUGUAUUCCCAUUUUAAUUUUCAGAAUACUACUGUAUUUGUAGGUAACACCUCUAUAUAAUUACACAAAAAUGCAUUUUUUAAGUCUAAGAUAAGAAACAAAUGAAGAGUGGGGGGAGGAGGAUAAAAAUGGGGGAAUUUUUUUUAAGAUUUUAUUACAAUUACCUCAAAUAAUACAUGUUUUAAAACUGACAAACAUAGAACCUCUGUAAAACUGUAAGCCC
rnacentral:lncRNA from 1 species